rnacentral:lncRNA from 1 species
CAUAGGAAAAGCGAAUAUUUCUCCUUGAGGUUCUCCCUGACAUGUGAGCACCUGCCUCUUUGUAGACACACGCGUCAUGACCAGCACACGUCUUCCCAACUCAGUGUUCCCAGGGGAAUUCAAUUAUUCAGAUUAUGCCAGCAAUCUCUGAUUCAGUACAUAAAUUGCAUCGUCAAGGAUGACAGCCCAUUCCAAGCUGACUCUUCCCUCUGAAGUGGUGAUUUUCUGUGCCUCCAUAAGAUGGAGGAUGAAGAAUUCAGCGGGCUACUGGGAACCACCCUCACAUCAGAAAUCUGUUCUCCCAUCCCGUGGGAGCUUCGUGUUUGAAGCCAGCCACAGUGAGUCGGCUUCUAUGACUUAUGACUUC